AGACCGAUCGUUUCUUACCGCAAUCAACGCGCAGUCGGGCCUUUCCAAAAAAGAAAUAAAAUCAAUCCGACGGGGUACCGACGCUUCGUUUCCGGUUUACCGAAUACUAAAUAUAAGGCAAUAAGUAAGUACCUUCAAAAAUGGGUAAAUGGAUAUUGAAUUUAUUGGCUUUAUUGGAUUUGGCUUUGUACCGAUCCUAAUAAUAAAGCGUAGCGAUGCCAGCGGAUCAACCACUCUUGUAGUGAUGGCGG